rnacentral:snRNA from 1 species
GACUCUGACGGUGCAGACGG